rnacentral:lncRNA from 1 species
GUAGUAGUAGUAGUAGGAGUAGGAGUAGGAGUAGGAGUAGUAGUAGUAGUAGUAGUAGUGAUAGUCUCUCUGUAACCAAGGAUGAUGCUUGUCUUUGUGUGUUUUUGUGCACAGACACUUGUGCAUGAAGAUUUAAGUGGAAAAGUCGAUGCACAGACAGUCCCACUCUCUCGGCAUUGGAAGCCUGGGUCUGGUGGCACGAAAAGUCGUUACAUCUGGAGACUUCCUCAGCUGCAUUGGAUGGCCGUGUUGUCUUUUGUGCUCCAACACGCCCUAAGCACUCCACAGUGCCUUGCUGCGUCGCCAUCUCAGCUGUUGAACCUUAUUAGUUUCUUCCGCCUGUUCCGCCGAAGCAGUCUUCACAUGCUGGGGAAAUUUGGAUACACAAAAGAUCAUCAGGAAAGAAAUGAUCUCAGCAUGGAUCCAUUCUCAUCUGUACUCAUUCCUGUCUUAGUCUGUUGAAAGCUAACGGUCAGGAGAGCUCCCUCAACUUCUCCUCAUACACAUACAUCCCCCAGUAUUUCCCAGUAAAAAUGAUGGCUUUGACAAGGAAAGUGUGAGCCUAUAUACUCCUAGAGGAAAACUGAGACUCAGGACCUCAGUGAAAGACCCA